AUAAUAAUAAUUCUCAAUAAAUAAAUUAAUUCCAUAAAUAUCCUCGUGGCACAGGGGAGGGGCAGGGGAAGGGUUUGGGGGGAAAAGGAGAGCGGCUCCGGGAAUUCCAGCUCCAGUUCUCUGGGAAUUUUGGUUCCAGCUCCUCUGGGAAUUGCGGCUCCAAAUCCCCGGGAAUUGCAGCUCCAACCUUUUGGGAUUCACUGUCCCAACUCCCUCUCUCCAUCCCUCUGGAAAUGCUGCUCCAGUUCCUCUGGAAUUGCUGCUCCAAACCCUUGGGAACUGCGGUUCCAACCUUUUGGGAUUUGCGGUCCCAUCCCACCGGGAAUUGCUGCUCCAGUUCCUCUGGAAUUUUCUCUUCCAAACUUUCGGGUUUUGCUGCUCCAUCCCUCUGGGAAUUGCUGUCCCAGCCCGCCAGGAUUGGCUCUUCCAUCCUGCUGGGAAUUGCUGCUCCAAAUCCCUGGGAUUUGCUCUUCCAUCCAUCUGGAAUUUGCAGCUCCAUCCCUCUGGAAUUUGCCGUCCCAGCUCUCUGGGCUUGGCUCUUCCAGCUCUCUGGGAAUUGCUGCUCCAGUUCCUCUGGAGCUGCUGCUUCAAAUCCCCAGGAGUUGCAGCUCCAUCCCUCUGGGAAUUGCUGCUCCAAACCUCUGGAAUUGCUGCUCCAGUUCCCCGGGAAUUGCUGCUCCAGUUCCGCUGGAAUUGCAGCUCCAAACCUCUGGGAUUUGUGGUUCCGAAUCCCCGGGAAUUUGUGGCUCCAUCCCUCUGGAAUUGCUGCUCCAAAUCCCCAGAAGCAGGGUGGGGGGGGGCGGCAGUGUGGGCAGCACGGACACACGGACACAGGGAUGGACAGACGGAGACAUGGGUGGACAGACAGACACAUGGACGCAGGGAUGGACACGUGGGCAUCCAAGAUGUGGUUCAGGUAGGAGAUACAGCAGAUGGCCAGAUGGACACACGGACAGACACACAGACACCUCAGACAUCCAGGACGUGGUUCAGGUAGGAGACAUAGCAGAUGGACACACAGACACAGGGAUGGACGCAGGGACACACAGAUGGACAGUCACACAUCCGGGACGUGGUUCAGGUAGGAGAUGUAGCAGAUGGCCAGAUGGACACACGGACAGAUGGACACAGGGACGGACACAGGGACACCUCAGACAUCCAGGAUGUGGUUCAGGUAGGAGACAUAGCAGAUGGACACACGAACACAGGGAUGGACACACGGACACACGGACAGUCACACAUCCAGGACGUGGUUCAGGUAGGAAACCUAGCAGAUGGCCAGAUGGACACAGGGAUGGACACAUGAACACACAGAUGGACACACGGACAGAUGGACACAGGGAUGGACACAGGGAUGGACACAUGAACACACAGAUGGACACACGGACAGAUGGACACAGGGAUGGACACACGGACACACGGAUGGUCAGACAUCCAGGACGUGGUUCAGGUAGGAGAUGUAGCAGAUGGCCAGAUGGACACAGGGAUGGACACACCCCCCCCCCCCCCCCCCCCCCCCCCCCCCCCCCCCCCCCCCCCCCCCCCCCCCCCCCCCCC
rnacentral:lncRNA from 12 species